GCUCUUAUGAAGUUAGCGGCGGACGGGUGAGUAACACGUGGGUAACCUGCCCAUAAGACUGGGAUAACUCCGGGAAACCGGGGCUAAUACCGGAUAACAUUUUGAACCGCAUGGUUCGAAAUUGAAAGGCGGCUUCGGCUGUCACUUAUGGAUGGACCCGCGUCGCAUUAGCUAGUUGGUGAGGUAACGGCUCACCAAGGCAACGAUGCGUAGCCGACCUGAGAGGGUGAUCGGCCACACUGGGACUGAGACACGGCCCAGACUCCUACGGGAGGCAGCAGUAGGGAAUCUUCCGCAAUGGACGAAAGUCUGACGGAGCAACGCCGCGUGAGUGAUGAAGGCUUUCGGGUCGUAAAACUCUGUUGUUAGGGAAGAACAAGUGCUAGUUGAAUAAGCUGGCACCUUGACGGUACCUAACCAGAAAGCCACGGCUAACUACGUGCCAGCAGCCGCGGUAAUACGUAGGUGGCAAGCGUUAUCCGGAAUUAUUGGGCGUAAAGCGCGCGCAGGUG
rnacentral:rRNA from 1 species